CCUACGGGAGGCAGCAGUGAGGAAUAUUGGUCAAUGGUCGCGAGACUGAACCAGCCAAGCCGCGUGAGUGAUGAAGGUACAGAGUAUCGUAAACCUCUUUUGUCAGGGAACAAAUGCGGGGACGUGUCCCCGCAUGAGUGUACCUGAAGAAAAAGCAUCGGCUAACUCCGUGCCAGCAGCCGAGGGAAGACGGAGGAUGCGAGCGUUAACCGGAUUUAUUGGGUUUAAAGGGUGCGCAGGCGGUCCGGUAAGUCAGCUGUGAAAGCCCCGGGCGUAACCCCGGCCCGGCGUGUGAAACUGGCAGUCUCGAGUUGGAGAGAGGUAUGUGGAAUGCGCGGUGUAGCGGUGAAAUGCGUAGAGAUCGCGCAGAAUUCCGAUUGCGAAGGCAGCAUGCUGG
rnacentral:rRNA from 1 species